AUCCUCAUAUGGAUAACUGCGGAAAUACUGGAGCUAAUACAUGCAACUAUACCCCAACGCAAGGCGGGGUGCAAUUAUUAGAACAGACCAAACGUUUUCGGACGUUGUUUGUUGACUCUGAAUAAAGCAGUUUACUGUCAGUUUCGACUGACUCUAUCCGGAAAGGGUGUCUGCCCUUUCAACUAGAUGGUAGUUUAUUGGACUACCAUGGUUGUUACGGGUAACGGAGAAUAAGGGUUCGACUCCGGAGAGGGAGCCUUAGAAACGGCUACCACGUCCAAGGAAGGCAGCAGGCGCGAAACUUAUCCACUGUUGAGUAUGAGAUAGUGACUAAAAAUAUAAAGACUCAUCCUUUUGGAUGAGUUAUUUCAAUGAGUUGAAUACAAAUGAUUCUUCGAGUAGCAAGGAGAGGGCAAGUCUGGUGCCAGCAGCCGCGGUAAUUCCAGCUCUCCUAGUGUAUCUCGUUAUUGCUGCGGUUAAAA
rnacentral:rRNA from 1 species